GACGAACGCUGGCGGCGUGCUUAACACAUGCAAGUCGAACGGAAAGGCCCUGCUUUUGUGGGGUGCUCGAGUGGCGAACGGGUGAGUAACACGUGCGUAACCUGCCCUUGACUUUGGGAUAACUUCAGGAAACUGGGGCUAAUACCGGAUAGGAGCUCCUGCUGCAUGGUGGGGGUUGGAAAGUUUCGGCGGUUGGGGAUGGACUCGCGGCUUAUCAGCUUGUUGGUGGGGUAGUGGCUUACCAAGGCUUUGACGGGUAGCCGGCCUGAGAGGGUGACCGGCCACAUUGGGACUGAGAUACGGCCCAGACUCCUACGGGAGGCAGCAGUGGGGAAUAUUGCACAAUGGGCGGAAGCCUGAUGCAGCAACGCCGCGUGCGGGAUGACGGCCUUCGGGUUGUAAACCGCUUUCGCCUGUGACGAAGCGUGAGUGGCGGUAAUGGGUAAAGAAGCACCGGCUAACUACGUG
rnacentral:rRNA from 1 species